UCGACGGUUGCGAGGCCGGCGGUAGGGC
rnacentral:sRNA from 1 species